CCCUUAGAUGUUCUGGGCUGCACGCGUACUACAAUGGCGCUUGCAACAAGAUUGCCAACCCGAAAGGGUGAGCGGAUCUUUGAAGUGGCGUCGUGAUCGGGACAGUUGAUUGCAAUUAUUCGACUCGAACGAGGAAUUCCUUGUAAUCGCGAUUCAUCAUAUCGCGCUGAAUACGUCCCUGCCCUUUGUACACACCGCCCGUCGCUCCUACCGAUUGAGCGAUCCGGUGAAUGUUUUGGACUGGUGUCCGCAAGCGUUUCGCUUCGGACGCUACGAAAUUUUGUAAACCUUAUCGCUUAGAGGAAGGAAAAGUCGUAACA
rnacentral:rRNA from 1 species